ensembl:lncRNA
GGGGACGGGGCACUCCGAGGCGAGACCACCUCGGCCCAGCCCAGGCCCUGUCGCCGCCCCACAGCCCCGAGGGAGAGACUCAACUCCACCGUGGCGGGGUACCAGACGCUCAGAACAGCUGGCCACCUGUCGGGGGUCACCCACCCGAGAAGGGCUAACAGUGCCGCCGACCCCAGACCCUCCUCUCAGACACAACGUUCAGGGCUGGACUCACCUGGCUGGUCCGCAGGUCCCCUCGGAAAGGUAGCACUGGUGGAACGCCAGCUCUGAAGCUCCCAACAAGCCACCACCCUGCUCGGUGCCUCAGUUUCUCCCGGGUACCCGGGGCGGAGUCAGCAAACGCUGCGCACGCACGCGUGGGCACGUACACGUGGGCCCGGACGCACCGCCUCUGCUAUUUGACGGACAUGAAGGAACCCAGCGCCACGCGCAUGCGUUUGCGUUUGCAGGACCCUCGGCCCCUGGCGGAGCCGGGAGAAGGAGAGGUGGGCGUGCGGAGGAACCGGUCGCAUUACUUGGUAGCUGAGUGGAUCCAUGAGCGCUCCCGGCUCAUCGGGGCUGUCAACCACCUCUCCUGACGGACUGGCACCUCCACCAGGGCAGCGGGUGGUGCUCCGUGCCAGAGUGGCCCACAUACAGCACAUGUGCAACGAAGACCUGCUGAACGCUGGGAGGCAGGCCUCUCCUAGCCCCACCUCCCCAUCUUCCAAAACUCAGAGCACAAGGGGCUUGGGAGGCAGGACCCGGCCUCCAGGAGCUGCCCAGGUUCAGGAGGUGGCCCCGCAGCACGGCCUGCCUGCCUGCCAUGCAUGGGCUUGCUGCCUGCCUCCCACAUCCUGGGCUUCUAGACAGCACCUGUGUUCAUUCCCCUCUUUCCUCAUUUGUUUUUCAAUGACUCUUCCGGAGGCUCUGCUGUAGGUCGAACGCGGUCCCCCCCACUCAAAUUCAUCUGUUAAAUCCUAAUCCACAAUGUGAUUGCAUUAGGAGGGGGAAUCUUUUGCAGGGUGAGUAGUCGUGAAGGUGGAGCCCUCAUGAAUAAGGAUAGUUGUCGUUCUUUAGUCGCUCAGACUCUUUGGGGCCCCAAGGACUGUAGUACCCUCAGGCUCCUCUGUCCAUGGGAUUUCCCAGGCAAGAAUACUGGGCUAGGUGGCCAUUUCCUUCUCCAGGGUAUAACCCUGUAAACAUUCACGUUUAACAUCUGUCCAUUUCCCUCUAGCUAAAUCACAUCUUGAU